GACGAACGCUGGCGGCGUGCCUAAUACAUGCAAGUCGAGCGCUGAAAGAUGGUACUUGUGCCAAUUGGAUGAGCAGCGGACGGGUGAGUAACGCGUGGGUAAUCUGCCUUUGAGCGGGGGACAACAUUUGGAAACGAAUGCUAAUACCGCAUAAAAACUUUAAACACAAGUUUUAAGUUUGAAAGAUGCAAUUGCAUCACUCAAAGAUGAUCCCGCGUUGUAUUAGCUAGUUGGUGAGGUAAAGGCUCACCAAGGCGAUGAUACAUAGCCGACCUGAGAGGGUGAUCGGCCACACUGGAACUGAGACACGGUCCAGACUCCUACGGGAGGCAGCAGAGGGGAAUAUUGGGCAAUGAGCGAAGGCCUGACGGAGCAAGCCCGCGUGGGUGAGGAAGGUCUUCGGUUGGUAAACCCCUUUUGUUGGGAAAGAAGAUAGGGAGAUUGAAAAGCCCAUAUAGUGACGGUACCUAAACAGAAAGCGACGGCUAACUACGUG
rnacentral:rRNA from 1 species